GCAGCUGACAUCUCCAGAUUGACAUCCUUCCAGCUUGAAAUAAAGGUUUCUUCCCUCCGGUUCUAAUUUGGAAAAUCCAAGAGAAAGAUUCUCAGUGGUUUAUUGUGAGUUCCAUGCCCUCUUUGAUCCCUCACUGUGGUCAAGGGUGUACAGCACUAUAAUAAAUCUGAUGUGGGUCAUGGCCUUUCCUUUAUCCCUUCAUGGUGGAGAAAUAGCAUAGCCCACUAACAAAACAAGGUGCUGAAAAGACCGAAACACCAACUACAGCAAAAGCAGUCUGCAUGGACUGGUACUGUUUGAAAGUGUGUUGAUGGCUGUCAGUGUGUGGACUGGGAAAGGCCAGCUGCACUCUGUCUCCAUGGAGGCUCUCCCCCAGGGACAACCUGUCAUCAGACAAUUACCUUCACCAUCCCAGAGAAGGAAGUAUCUUUGUCUUCUCAAUCUCCCACUAGAGCGGGCAGAUGGGAGAGCCCUUGGUUGGGACUCUUUCCAGUUGGCUUAGGGCAGGGGGAUUAAUGGCUCAUUAGCUUAUAAGGUCAGGAUUAGAUUGGGUGUCAGGCUGGACCUAGAACUCACAACAGCAUCGUCAGGGACCUGUCUCUCUUCAGCUCUCUAUGCUGCUUUCCUUUGAAUUGACUUCCUCCUCAGGCUUCAUGAGUGACCCUGUAGCUCGUUAUUGGUAGAAAGAGCUCCUCUUCCCUGACAAAACCCUUGGACCUGGCUGUCAUUGGUCCCAAACAGGGAGGUAUCCAGCCUCAAGGAACCAUUGUGGCCAGGAAGAUAGAAUACACUGAUCGGGUAGGCCUGGGGCACAUACCCAUGUGGACUGAGAGUCGGGGGCUGGUAGUGGUAUUGGGGGGGCGGGGUGAUAUUACCAGAAGAGGGAAGAAUGGGUGCCAAACAGGAAAAACCAUCAGAUGUCCAGGUCAAGCCUUUUCCUUUUCUCUGGAUGUCUUCACUUUUCUCUUUCUCCCCGCCUACCCUUACCCUUCCCAAUCUCAGCACUCUUUGUCUUGGGAGUUGGGGGUACCUACUGAGUGGUGCCUGGGCCUAGAUUAGGGGGCACAGAGAGGAUGUAGCUUGUCCAAAGUAGAAUAUUCAAUGAAGAGUCUUUUGGAGGAUGCUCCUGUGCUUGGAACUGCUUCUUUAUGGACCUGUAGUACCGAUGGCGGGGUCCUUGUCAAGGUCUAGGUAGAAUUCUAGUUAUGUACCUGUGUUAUUGUCUGAGUCCACACUAGCCAUGAGCUCCUGAGGUGGCAGUAUCCAGCACAUACUUAAUGGGGUAAUUACUGGGAUGUGAAUCCUGCUCGCUAGCUUCCCCCUAAGCCAGAUAAGUCACAUUGCAGGACCCCUGGUGCAGGGAACAAGGUUGACUGGUUGACUUGUGAGCCUUCUGUUGACAGAUUCUGUUCCACACGGCUGCACGGGGCCCUUGUGGUUGAUUGGGAUCUGUGGUGGCUUCUGAAUUAAUCACUUCUGCAUGAGCCACUUCGCUCAGAGCCUGAGGCCACAGUUCCUUUCUUAGUCACUCAGACCCAUUUCAGUAAUGGCAGACUUGAAAUAAAUCAGACAAACAUUGCUCCUAUUUAACACAUCCUUGGGAGUUUCUUUGCAUGAAAGAGAGAUCUUGUUGGCUAGGGAGGCCUUUCUUCGCAUCUUGAUCUGGCUGGUGAGAGCCCACAGGCAUCCAGAACACGGAGCCCCAGCCCUGUUCUGACUUGCCCUCAGCUAAUCUCCAGGACAGAUUGGCAUCUCACAGACCUGGAUGGUUGCCAUGGGUGGUCAGAUCUAGCUGGCUGAUCUGGGAUAGCUUCUGUGGAGCUGCAAGUCCCCUGAAAUGGCACUGGCAGUGUUGGGACAAUGUGUCCAGAUGCCUGGUUAUUUCAAAACAGGUGUUAGCAAAAUGUGCUGCCAGCUUGGACCAGCCCCCAUAAGUCCCUGGUGACUGAAGCACUUCUCCAGCCCCCAGAGAGGGGGGUGCUUUCGUAGAACAUACACUUGCUUCCCUUUAGGGCAAGGAAGAUGGGCCCAGCAUCAUGCUUCAUCACUCAUUUAUUGCUUACUGAGCCACUGCUGACUUCCAGGCACUGCCCUAGGUCCUGGGGAUACAGUGGAGAAUAAGAUGGAGCCAGGCCCUGCCCAUAGGGAUCUUACAGCUUAGGGUGGGGGUGGGGGUCGGGGGGGAGCCAAGGAAACAAACUAGAGGUCUGUGAUGGAGGCCUGAGGGUCCUUUCUUGGGGGUCAUCACAGUGGUGAAGAACAUGGGUGUUGGAGAGAUAGAAACAUCCAGGAGAGAGAAUCAUUGAUUGGCUGCCUCCUGCAUGCCCCCUACUGGGGAUUGAGCCUGCAACCCAGGCAUGUGCCCUGACAGGGAAUCGAACCAUGACCUUCUGGUUCAUAGGUCAAUACUCAACCACUGAGCCACGAUGGCCAGGCAGAGAGACAUACUAGUAUUGAUUAGAGGCCUCCUGCACUUGCCCCAACUGGGCCCGGAGUUUGAGCCUGCAACCAGGGUAUGUGCUCUUGACCGAAUCAAACCUAGGACCCUCCAGUCCUCGGGCCCAUGCUCUAUCCACUGAGCCGAACAGGCUAGGGCAGUGGUCGGCAAACUCAUUAGUCAACAGAGCCAAAUAUCAACAGUACAAUGAUUGAAAUUUCUUUUGAGAGCCAAAUUUUUUAAACUUAAACUAUAUAGGUAGGUACAUUGUUAUUAACUUAAUUAGGGUACUCCUAAGGCUUAGGAAGAGCCACACUCAAGGGGCCAAAGAGCCACAUGUGGCUCACGAGCCACAGUUUGCCGACCACGGGGCUAGGGCAAUAAAUAGUAGUUUUAACUACAAUUACUAGGACACACCUUGAGUGAAACCCCUUAUAGUAUAGGUAUAGCACUCGUUUUUAAAAUUUUGAAAAUAAGAAUAACUUUCCUUUAUAAUCAGUCUGCCACAAUGAAGAGAUGAGGAAAAGGAAUCACCCUUCCUUGCUUUGCAUCUGUGGGGUGUCAAGUAUGUAUUUGAAAACAUUGAAUCCUCCCAGCUGUCAAAAAAGUAUGAAUUUUUACAACUCAUUAUACAGAGGAGGAAACUGAUACAAAAGUUAAGUAAAUUUUCCCAGGGUCACACAGCUAAUCAAUGGCUGAGUUGGAAUUAAAGCCAAGUCUUACCCUUAUGCAAAAAUCCAUGUUUUAUGCAACUCCUAUGCACUGGGCCUCCAAAGGCCCACUUGGCGCUGAGGACUACACUUGCUGUCCAGUCAGUUAAUCCUUUGUUUUCCUUGGUGGGUUGGCCCCAGCUGCUUUCAUUAUGCACUCUGAUGUGGACCCUGAAGGGAGAAGAGUUAGCACAGGACAUCCUGUCUCCCCAGAGAGAUGAAAUGGCUUGUUCUGUGUCUAUAAGUCCAUUGUACAUCAGGCACAUGGUUCAUGCACAUGAAAAUCAUCCAAAAAAAGAAACAGGGGUAGAGUCCACAUUCUGCCUUUCAGUUCUUGAGUCUAGACAUUAGCCUGUGGUUCUUCUUGGCCCCACCAACUUGUUCCCUUUCAGCUGCAUGUAUCUCAACCUUUGGGGUCUUCUGGCUGUUCUCUGAUUUCCUAGGGAGCCGCAAGAGCCCGAGGGAGCAGUAAGGCCAGAGCCGAGGGGGAGAACAAGGAAAGGAGAGCCCGGGAACAGAAAGCCCUGCUGGAGAGCCUGAGGACCCUGGGAGCAGGCAUGAGUUCGUUUACUUCAGUAACAAGGACACAACGUGUGCCUGGUGCUGUUUAAGGGCUGUACUCACAGAACCUCUUCACGAGAGCCUGGGAGAUAGGCAUGUCAUCUAGACAGAAUCCUAGGAGAUGAGCACCAUCGUUAUCUCCAUUGUAUAGACGUGGGCAUUGAGGCACAGAAAGGUCACACAGCUAGGGAGGGGCUGGCAUUUGAACCUAGGGUUCUUUAGUCCAUGAGUUUAUUUUAUUUUUUUAAAUUAUAUUUUUAUUGAUUUCAGAGAGGAAGGGAGAAGGAGAGAGCUAGAAACAUCAAUGAUGAGAGAGAAUCAUUGAUCGGCUGCCUCCUGCACACCCCACACUGGGGAUUGAGCCUGCAACCCUGGCAUGUGCCCUGACUGGGAAUCGCAUGGCGACCUCCUGGUUCCUAGGUCAACGCUCAGUGCUGGCUGGGCAGUCCAUUAGUUUAACUAAUAUGUCAUUGUUUUUUGAGGGAAGGAAUGAGCGAGUGAACAAAUGAGUCUGGGGUUUGGGGCUUGCCAGACAAGGCCCAAGGAGGCAGUGUGCAGAGAGCCAAUGGACAGCAGGUGUGCUUUGGAGUCAGCAGGGUUGGGUUGGAAUUCAGGCUCUGUCACCUGGUGUCUGUGUGAUCCUGGGUGAGUAACUUAAUCCUCCUUUCCUCAUCUUCAAAUGGGUAUAAUAAUGCUUCUCUCCUGGGGUCUUUGUGAAGGUUGAACAAGAUCACUUCUGUAAAGCUUCUAGCCCCAUGAGUGGCAUAUAGUAGGUGCUCAGUAAGGGCUCACUGUUACAGUAUUUUUACUGACACUAUGCAGAUAGAUUGUAUUAACAGGGCAUCACUGCACCGAUAUGAAAUUGAAACUCCAUGUUGACAGGGAUUAGAAGGGAAAUGAAAACAGCUGUUAAAGAAUGAAAAGGAGCUGAAACCGUUUCUUCAAUGCUUCAUUAUUUUUUUAGUGUUUCUAAAUGGAACAAAUAAAACAGGCAUGCAGUGGGUGUUCAGUGGCCUUUAAAUGUAUGAAUGAAGAACAUUUUAACAUAUUUUUAUUGGUUGAGUGAAUGGCUUAAAGCUCUGACCUUCCCGGGCACUGUGGCUCAGUGGUUGAGUUCAACCUAUGGACCAGGAGAUCAGGGCACAUGUGCAGGAUCAGGCUUGAUCCCCGGUGUGGGGUGUGUAGGAGGCAGCUGAUCAAUGAUUCUCAUCGUUGAUGUUUCUGUCUCUCUCUCCUUUCCUCUCUGAAUUCAAUAAAAAAAAAAAUAUUAAUAAAAAAACACAAAACAAAAACUCUGACCUUAGGAGAGUGGAUAGCUACCCUUGGGGUUUGUUACUGGACAGGGUCUGUGCAGAAGGGAGUUAAUGUUGCCGGCCUCAAAUGGAAGCCCUGUACAUGCUGAAUUUUCUGCUAGGGGUUUGAGUAAAUUUGCAAUGAGAAAAAAGGGAAAAAAUUUUAAAACAUGGCUUUGUAUUUUUAUUGCUGUUGUAUCUUGAUAUAUGACAAAGUUGAUUUAAAAUGUUAAAUUUCAUAAAUGCUAGAGGAAUCAUUCUAAUCAAAGAAAGUUGCAAUUAAAUUAAGAAGGUGGUGGUGGUAUACAACUUUCUUGCUUUUUGCCAGCAGCGAGUUAUAAUUUAAAUUCUUCGGGUAUUGAAACCAGAACAAAUCUCCAUAACUGAU